GGGUGGCUAGCUCAGUUGGCUAGAGCGUUCGAUUCACAUUCGAAAGGUCAGAGGUUCAAAUCCCCUGCCACCCACCA
rnacentral:tRNA from 1 species